GUGUGCCAGGGGAAAAUUACGUCUGAUGGUCAAGAGUAAGCAAUACGGUGCUGUGAGCUCCGACAGCCAGCAGUUCUCAACACCUCACUGCCCACCCAUCCAUCCCACGCCAGCUCAGCUUACCUACAAGAUGCUGCACAAGAUGGUGUGAAGACAAAGGUACUCAAUCAAGGCACAAGAACAACAAGACAACCAACCACUCCGACCACUAGCUCACCCACAAAGGAACACAGAACGCACCGCUCCUCCCCUCAUUCCAGCCGCUUAUGACAUCACCAACGGCCAACAGCCUGGUCCACCAUGACCCCCCACAAGGCGGGGAGCCAAGACCACGUGGUCACAUCUGAUUCCAACACGGCACCACAACAUUCCAGGACUCAGUGUGGGCUUGGAAUUCUAUCCUGGUGUGGCAGCGCAAUGGGAGGUGUUAGGGCACAGCUGAAGAGCUGACAGACAACGGACGUUUCCAAAGGAGGGUGCCAGAUUAACUCUCAGCAUUCUCUUGCGGGGCUCUUAGGAAUGCUUCAAACCCAUUUUCACUGCCUAGCUCAUUUCUAGAAAGUCCAGUUGAGAAAUGCUCACUUUGUCUGGGGAACGCCUCUAUGCAUCAUGAAUGAAAAAUAAAAUAAAAUGGGCACGCGA